ACAUGGUGCUCCUUACCAUCAUCACAUACAGACAACACCUUGAACUCUUUCGCAACGGGGUCAUAUCCAAGAUAGCUUUCCACUCUAUACUUGUCUUUCGAGUUCAAUCUUGGUAAUGUCAAGGACUGUCCUGUGCUGGGGUUACAUAUCACCGUGACAAUCCCUGCUUUGUUCUUGCCCUGGUUAGCUCCAUAACAGAAGAAGCCAUUGGUACAACCAAAUAAGCCAUAGGAGGUUGGGAAACACGCGAGGUGAUUGGCGGCUACAACAUGCGAGUUGUCUUCCGGAUUUUCAGGCUGGGGCGACGAGAGGAAGUGAAUCUCGUGGCGGUAAUCAGAGCAUGCGAAAAGAAGCUGAGGGCGAGCGCAAGAUUUGGUCAAGAAGGAGUCUGUGAAAUCUUGACUGCGAAGCACGGAGGACCAGAGCUUGCAUACGCAACGACAUGUCGCUAUAGAAUUCAACGGCAGCCUCAAGAAUAUCUCUGUAAUAACCUCAACAGGAAGCGUCAGUGAGUUUCUAUCAAGUCUGGUCGUCGAUCGCGUAACGCGCUGAGAAAUGCUUAGACCACCCUUCUGCCGCUUCAUAGCGAGAUAACUUUUAGAACUUCUCUUAAUACCCUGAAACAAAAUACAGUUAGCCACAGAUUCUACCAGAUAAACGAUCAAUGUCGAUUUUACAAAUUGCAGAAGAACGAACAUGAGGCACAUUAAUGUUUUCAACAUUUCUUACCUCGAAUUCACUGUCACUAGGUAAGAACAAUCGUAAAUCGCAGUUGGGGUUUAGAACUAUCAUCCCCAAAUCAUUUGUCGGGAAUGAUAAAAGAGUGAAGUAAUUUUAUAUGGGCCUUUUGUGGGCUUACACAAUAUUUAAAAUGAUGGGUUUACGAUGGGUCUGACCUGAAUUUUAUUAAAAACUACAAUGCUCUCGACAAACUAGUAACAUUUGCUCGGCAAAUAGACCGAAUCCAAAAACCCCAACCAAAUCCGAUCCGGUAAAAAUGAAUCUGAAUCUAAUAUAAAUACCGAAUGGAUCUUGUUUUAUAGUAUUUCAUGUUAUGCAUAUUAUCUGAACCGAACCGAACUUAAAUGGAUAUCCGAUUUGAACCCAAAAAUUUUAAAAUCAAGAACUUGUACCAAACAUGAUCUCAACUCCUAAUAUGUAUCUAAAAUGCAAUAAGAUAUGCUCGAUGGUAAGUAUAGACAAAGUUCUUUCAUAACUAUGUUCACGUAUAUCACAUAUAAAUAUUUUCUAAUUUUUUUUUGUGCGUUUCAGGAGAAGAAAAGAUUUAUAUCAGCGCAGACAGUAUUGAUCCUUCUGAUACAAAUUCAGUUAACGAUGAAGCUCUUGGUCCUGAUUUUCUAAACACCAUAAAAGUUUCAGGUUUACCAAAUCAUAGUCUCAGACUGAAGGUUGGUUGUCCCGUAAUGGUUUUAAGGAAUAUUAAUCCUACAGCAGGGUUAAUGAAUGGAACCAGGCUUCAGAUCACUCAAGUGAUGGAUUUGAUGGUUCAAGCCAGAAUCAUAACUGGGGAAAAGGUUGGACAGAUAGUAGAUAUUCCGAGACUAUCAAUAACACCAUCAGACACCCGAUUGCCUUUUAAAAUGCGCAGAAGGCAACUACCUUUGGCAGUGGCUUUUGCUAUUACAAUAAACAAAAGCCAAGGACAAUCUCUAUCGGAGGUGGGUCUGUUUUUACCAAAGCCUGUGUUUUCCCAUGGACAGCUAUAUGUGGCAAUAUCUAGAGUGACCUCAAAGAAAAGAUUGAAAAUUUUGGCUCUUGGUAAAGAUGGAAAGCCUCAGAGGAAAACCAUGAAUGUAGUUUUCAAAGAAAUUUUCAACAACCUUGGAUGAUGUUUUUUGAUAAGGUAUGUCGUUUGAAAAUAUUAUCUUAAUGACCUAGGAAAAUUGUUUCACAGUUAAUGUAUUAAAGUAAUUUAUAAGACCAGACUAAGUUUUUUUUUUUUGUAUUGCAGAUUUCAGUUCGUGAAGAAAGAGGAGUUUACUUUCAGAAUUCUUGAACACUGUUGUUAUUAAUAAGACCGAUGUUAUUUUAUUGUUAUGGAUUACUUAUCAACAAUCAAAAUUAUGCAUUGAUAUAAAUUAAAAUAUUUCAGAAAUACUACAUCAAACACAACCAUUCAAGUCAAUCAAGAAAUGAAACAAACAAGCGUAAGGCAAAUAAGAAGUACAUGCCAUCAGCAAUCACGCGUACAUCUACCACAAUCCUAAACGAUUCUAUUUCUUGAUUAAUGUAUGAAUUCUUCAUAUUUUUAAAUUAUACUAACCUUGGUUUGUUCGCAAGGUUUGGAAUUCUAUUUGAUAUUUGUGAUCCAACGGUUACUGAUCUUUCUUCUCCAACAUGACCAAUUCUUAUCAAUGACACCUUCAUCACCUGAAAGCAUACAAAAACAUAGAAAAAAUAGAUUGAUCAUUGAAUCUUUUGUAGUCAAACAUGACAGUUUUUUCACAAAUAAUUACUAAACGAAAGUGAAGAUACACUACCUGAUAUGCAAGACAAGUUGUUUAUGCUUUUCAUUCGUUUGUUUCAGUCUUUGUUUUCCUUCACUAUAUGUCUCAUAUCAACCGUGUAAAGGAUAAGACAUGCUUUUAGUAAACACAUAAUAAUUUCAAAAGAACAAGGAAAAAGUUUUAAAAGAUGUAAACCUGAACUAUCACCCGCUGCUUAUGCUCUUAGUAAAAUUAUGAAUAGAGAAUAAUGCUUCGUUAGGAUCAUCUCUGGAACACAAGUAAAAAAAAACAAAAACAUUAUCAACUAUAAAUAAUCAAAGUUGCCUUUUUCUUUUGUGAGUUAUAGAAGUGACAGAACAACCAAUGAAUAUUCAAAAUAGAAACUAGAAAAAAAAAACCUAACAAACAGAAAUCGUUUAAGAGAAAUAGAAACCUAACUUUGCUUCUGUCAUAAUUCGAUAGAAAGCGUUUAAUCAAAUCAUCUACUUUUUCUUUUUUACAGUACCUUGCAAUGAUUCCAAUAUCUGGUCAUCAUGUAAUUGAGUUUCGAUGUACCCAAAGAUUCCAAAUUAACACUGACUUUAACUAUUACAUGCUAAUCUUCAAAGAUUUUAACGGAGAUGGCCAAUCUACUAUUAGAGAUGCCAGAUCUAAAAAAGAUUUGAACAAUUUUUAUGAUUAAAAACACCUAAUCGUUCAUAAUGUCAAUUAAAUUAAAAGAAUAUAAACAGUCUAACCUUUUUUUGAAUAAAUCGAUGAACAAUCUGAUGAUUAUGGAUUAGGAUUCCUCCGAUUUUGUAUUUUAUCAGUUUUUUGAGUCAUAAUCGAGACGGAGAUCAGAUCAAAGAGAGAGACAGUGAAGGGGCGACGGAGAAGAUUAGGAGAAAGCAAAAAAGUAGUUGAGUUUUUAGCAUGUACGUUUUUUUCCCGGAGUAAUUAGUUGGAUUAGUUGGGCCAGCCCAAUUCUUUAAAUAAUUGAUAGACUAAUUUUUUAUAUACUCUAGCCCAAUUUUAUGACCCAAUUCACUUUAUUAUUUGUUGUAAGCCAUUUUUUAAAAAUAAUUGAUAUAUUAAUUAUUGAAAUAAAAUAAAGUAGAUUUAUGAUUGUUGUUUCUUUGUGGUGAAAAUAAAAACAGAAACUAUAAUAUAUAAUAUAUAAUAUAGAUUCUAAGCAACUACAAUACAAUUUUCAAGAAAAUAAAAUAUCAUAAAACUAAUAAUAAUUCAUGAUCAACUACAACAAAAAAAAUUAAAUGUUUUUUAAAUAAAUAAACAAAAAAAACCCAGUAAGUUAAUAUAUGAAUCUUACACUUAUAUCAAACUGCAUCAAGUUAUAGAAUUAUAGAUAUAAUAUUAUGUAGAGAUUGAAAAAGCUCUUAAUAUAACAUUUUUACAUUAUAAAUCAUAUAUAUUACUCUAAAUGGAAUUUACAAAACAUAAAAAUAUAAAUGGACAUUUUAUAAAAUAAAUGGUUUAUAAAUUACAUUAAACAAAAUUUAAAUCCAGCACCCGCGCGGGGGCGCGGGUCAAAAUCUAGUAUCUAUUACAUGAACAUUGAUGGUUGAAGGUGGCGGUUGAAACUUAGGUUUUAGAUUUUAGUUUUGUUUUCGAUGAAUGAUGUUUCUCGUGUCAUAUGUCAUGAAAACUUGGUUUUAGUUUUAUGCUUUCAUUUUUAGUUUUCUUUCUAUCAAUAAAUAUGUUUACUUUUCAUUUGAUUCUGAAUGAUCAUGUUUGAUAUUUCUUUCUUAUUUUUGAAUCGAUUUUACUUAUAUUUUAGUUACAAAAUAUGUAUAAAUCAGGUAUUUUAAAACCAGAAAAUCGAUUUUAUUUAUGUUUCGGUUACGAAAUAAAUAUAAACCAAGUAUUUUAAAACCAAAGAACCGAUUGGAAUUCGAACCUAAAAAUACAUCGGACUGUACCUGUUCUUUGAAGAUUUACUAACCCCAACCCAAAUCCACUAAUAUAACCCGAAUGGAGCUAAUUUUGAUGGAUCCCAAAUGUCCAUGCCUAAUUUUUCUCAUUUCAUGGAUCUAGAAAAUCAUACUCUCUAUCACAGCACUGAAAGAUGACAUUCAAAAGCUUCUCAGUUUUGGAUUAAUAUUUAACUAUUUACAGCAUUUGUAACAAGAAGAUUGUCUCUCAUCCCCUGGUUGAAUCUUCUACAAGAGGUUGAUUUUCAAACUAAGACGCUAGAAAAAAAAAAUGAAAACUACGCUUGAAAUGCUUAAAGAAACUUCACAUUCUCAACAUAGUUGAGGUAGGUGUUUAGCCUCUUACCCUGAAACGCCUCCAUUCCUUGGAUUCCAACUUCUCUGAUCGUCUUGCUCUUGACAUUGUAGUAGAUGACACAGGAAGACACUCUUUGGAAACAGGGGGUCAAAACAAUUUCAUCUACACCAACCAUUCCAGCAAUAUCCAAUCUAUCCUCAACUACACCCUUCCAAACUGGUGGUAAUACGUAAACAUGCCUGGACCACUCAUGUUUUGCAACGUCUCGAAGAACCCACAGCUCAAAUCUUUUACAUGAUCGAGUAACAUAAUAAUCUUCCGACGACAUAAGAAAACCUAAUCUGCCAUUGUAGUUUGUCAGAGUUGUUGAAUGAGAUCUAUUGAAACGCCUCAAGAGGUUCACAAAGCUGAACUUCUCAGUCCUCAAAUCAAAACAAACUACCAUAGAUUCCACCGAAUAUCUGAUUUCUUUAGCUAUAUAGUACAAAACGCCACUGAUGCAUAUCCACUUACCAGAAGAAUAAUGUCGUAUGCAACAUUCGACCAACCUCCACGACAGUUUCUUGGUUCCUAAUGUCAGAACAUGAAACUCCUUACCAUCAUCACAUACAGACAACACCUUGAACUGUUUUGCAAUGGGGUCAUAUCCAAGAUAGCUUUCCGCUUCAACCCUGAUCCUCGUUUUCAAUCUUGGUAAGGUCAAGGACUGUCCUGUGCUGGGGUUACAUAUCACCGUGACAAUCCAUCGAUUAUUCCACCCCUUUAAGAUCCGUUCAGCUCCAUAACAGAAGAAGCCAUUGGUACAACCAAACAGUUUAUAGUAACGUGGGGAACGUGCAAUAUGAUUGGUGGCUACGACAUACGAGUUGUCUUCAAGAUUUUCAGGCUGAGGCGACGAGAAGAAGUGUAUCUCGCUGCGACCUUCGCAUGCAAAGAGAAGCUGAGGACGACGAGCACAAGAUUUGGUCAAGAACAGCUCUGUGAAAUCUUGACUGCGGAUCACGGAGGACCAGAGCUUGCAUACGCAAUGGCAUCUCGCUAUGGACUUCGACGGCAACCUCGAGAGUAUCUCUGUAACGACCUCAACAGGAAGCGUCAAGGAGUUACGAUCAAGCGUGGUCGUUGAUCGCGUAACGCGGCGAGAAAUGCUUAGACCACCCUUCAUGAAGGAGUAUGUUCCCUUACGGACGCUCUUUGAGAAAAGACAUUAAAAUUACAUUACUAACCUGAAACACAAACAUUCUAGAACCAACCAAAACUCCAAACAAAAGUUAGAUUGCAUCCAGAAACUAAAUACAGUUCUAGGACUUAGCCAGAGAUGAUGUCACAUUCACCAGAUGAACGAUCGAGAUGAAACAACAAUCUACCAAAACAACAAUAGUGCUGUUCGUUUCAUUGACGCGGGUUCCUGCGGCUGCGGCUGAGUCUGCGGCUGCGGCUGCGACCAUUUGUUUGGUUGUUGUUCGUUUUGUAGCCGCAGACUCAGCCGCAGCCGCAGCCGCAGCCGCAGCUUGUUGUUCGUUUCGUAAACGCAGGACAUUGCCGCAGUCGCAGCCGCAGACGCAGAAAGUAGAUUUAGUUCUGUUCGUUUGGUUGCCGCAGACGCAAUUUUCAUUUAUUUCAUAUUUUAAUUUUAUGAAUUUUUAAAAUUAUAUUUAAAUAAAUAAAAUAUUAUAAAAUUGUAAAAUAUUGUAAAAUUUCAUAUUUUAAUUUUUUGAAUUUUUAAAAUUAUAUUUAAAUAAAUAAAAUAUUAUAAAAUUGUAAAAUAUUGUAAAAUUUCAUAUUUUAAUUUUAUGAAUUUGUAAAAUUGUAGAUUUAACAACAUUUUUUUAUCAUAAACAAAAGCUAAAUAAUACAUCAAGUCUUAAAUAAAUAAAACAAAUAUUUCAAAUAUCACAUAGAACUGAUAAUCAAAGUUAUAAGCAGAAAAAAAAGAGUCAUUAACUAAAACAUUUAAUACGGUAAACGACCUCUACCAUAUUCAUCUGUGAUGCUCUUACGCAAAGCUUCCAUCGCUCUAUCACCGGUCGGCUCAUAUACAAUAUGUCCACCACCACCACCACCACCACCAUCAUCAUCAUCAUCAUCAUCAUCAUCAUCAUCAUCAUCAUCACCUUCUCCUUCUUCAUCACCAUCAACUCCUUCUGCUUCUCCUUCUCCAUCAUCAUCACUUUGCCAUUGUACAAAAUCAUGAUCUUCUCGAUGUGAAUCACGUAUGAAGUUGUGUAGCGCCAUCGUCGCUGUCACGAGCUUAAUCCACUUGACCAGACCAUACUUUGGAUGCUUACGAUCCAAAAUCCUCCAUUUUGCUUUCCAUACUCCAAAUGUCCUCUCAAUCACUGAUCGCAAUCCUGAAUGCUUUCGGUUGAACAACUCUCGUGCACUAACUGGUGGUCCUCCUCUAGCAAACUGACCAAGAUGAUAUCGCAUACUCCGAUGCGGACCAAGAUACCCAGUCCUGGUCGGAUAUCCCGAGUCAACUAGAUAAUAUUUUCCAGGAGGAGGAUGUGGGAAAGAAGCCUCAUUCCUCGCACAAUGAGUCAAGACCUUUGUAUCAUGUGCUCUACCAGGUACACCGAGAUAUGCGUAUAUGAACUUCAUGUCGAAGUUACAUAUAGCAAGAACAUUCAUUGUAGGAUCUUGCUUUCUACCUUUAUAUGCUUCUGCAUUUUGACUUGGAGGGCGAACCGGCACAUGAGUUCCAUCGAGUGCUCCAACACAAUCUCUGAAAUGAGGCCAAUACUGAUCAUCAUUCCUCAAAACAGGACUCACUCUUCCAAACUCGCCUUCUUGUGGUCUUAAUGUAUCCUGUGCAAACUUGAGAAGAGCACUCAAAACUUCAUCAAGCUUCCUUUGGACCGUAUCCACUGAUCUUUGAUACCUUGCAGCAAUAUCCCGCUUCGUCUUAUCUUGACCAACAGUCUCAAGAAACAUCGCCACAGAUUCUUCAAGGUAGACAUGGUGAGUCUCUUUCAAUCCAUAUCGCUCAGCUAGCAUCUUGCACAAAGCUUCAAAAGUCCUUUGAUUCAUUCGAAGAAUGUCAUAACAUUGCUGAUCAGAUUCAUACAUAAGUUGUUGAACAUGUCGCCAUCCUGCUCCUCGAUCUGUUUUAUGACUCAAUCUCUCGGUAAUAGGCACAUCAAACAAACCAAGUUCAUCAUCAUAAUCACCAUCCUCAUCUUCCAAAAUCCAUCUUUCAAGCAUCUACAAUACAAUAUUAAAUAAAUCAUCAUUAAAAUGGAUAGUAUUAUAAACAAACAAAACAGCCAUAAGCUCAAGUUCUAAUUAAUUAUUAUAGACCAAUCACACAGACCUAGACCUGUAAAACUACACACGGCAUAUAUAAUUAUUAUAGACCAAUCACACAAACACGGAGAAACGUAAUGAGUUUAUAAGACCAAGCACACAUAAUGAGUUUAUAAGACCAAACACACAUUAGACCAAACGUAAUGAGUUUAUUACCAGAUUUUUCAUGACAAACGUAAUGCAGUAACAAAAGGCAUUUCACAGACAUAAGAAAAGUAAACAUUUUGUUACCAGAUUCAAAACCAAGUCUACUAAACCAGCAUAUACAAAAGGCAGUUUCAUACAAAGAUCAGACCAAAAGCAAAAGUUCCAUACUAGUCCUAAGUUCCAUAAUAGUCCUAAGCUUCAUAGUCACGUUUUAUCUUGGUCCUAAGCUCUAGAAACUUAGUCUUAGCUUCAUCUGUCUUCAUUGUUAUAAAAGCCCUUCUGCUCCCUUCACUGUCUAUAAGAUGUUCCAUUGCUGCUUCAUAUAAUGGAGACCACUCUCUCACUCCAGGCAAUGUGUACAGAAUCUCUAACACAUUCUCAACACUAGAAGCUUCUUGACGCUCCAUUGAAGCUUCUUGACGCUCCAACAUCCGUUCUGCUAUCUUGUUCUUCACCAUAAGCGCUUCAGUACGUUUGUCACAAGCUUCUACAACCAUAUCCUUCUCCUUACGCCUUCUUUUUCCUCUCGAACUUCCAGAAUGAGUCUGAGUUUGGCGAUGGGUUUGUGUCUGCAGCUGCGGCUGAGUUUCUGUCUCUGCUGCUGCUUGAGUUUCUGCUGCUGGCUGAGAAUCGACUUCAUCACCAUCAUCUAGACCCACUCCAGAGUUUAAGCUUGCUUCUCCAUGUUGAGCACUCCAUCCUUCUGCUCCAGUUACUACUACAGCACCAAAUUCUUCUUCAAACAUAUCCAUAUUAAAUUCUUCUUUCCAUACAGAUCUUCUAAUCCCAGGACACUCCUAUAUAACAAAAAAAAAUAAAGAGUAAGUUAAUGAGGAAUCAUGAAUCAUGAGAUCGAGAGUGCUGGAGAUGUGUCGGAUCGAGAGAGAGCUGGAGAUGCAUCAGAUCGAGUGAGAGCUUCGAGGUCUGCUCAAGCAAGUUGCGUCGAUGAGAGAACAGAGCUGCGUCUGCGGCUAUUAGGGUUAGGUUCUUUGGUAAAUAAUGAAUUAUGUUAAGGGCAGAAAUGUAAUUAAGUUGAGUAGACGCAGAAUUUGAGCCGAGAUCGCUGAUUUUAUCUGCGUUCAGACGCAGAGGUCGCGUUCGGCCGCAAACGCUGACGCAGGCUCCCGCGGCGACGAAACGAACACGCGUUCAUGGAAAAUAUAGCCGCAGCCGCAGCCGCAAGACUCGCGGCGAUGAAACGAACAGCACUAAUUAUGUUUUCAGCAUUUCUUACCUCGAAUUCACUGUCACUAGGUUGAAUUUUCGGACUGGAUUUUGCAGAAGAACAAUCGUAAAUUGCAGUUAGGGUUUAGAACUAUGCCCAAAUCAUUUGUCGGGGAAGAUAAAAGGGAGUGCUGUAAUAAUAUAUCUUUAGUGGGUUGACCUGAACUUUAUUUAAAAAAGUCGAAUUGCUAUUUAAUUCUACUCAUUUUAUCGACAAGGACAAGAUCAAAAAAAGGAGCGACGUGUCUUAGUUAAAACACGCAAGAUGAAAGGAUUUGUGACACGAAUCGGUGCUGGACCACCGUACCACCGCCGAGCAUCACCACAUAGCAUACAAAGAUAACAUUCUAAGCUUGUCUGCUUUUGAUGAGUAUUUACAUUUGUAAAGAGUUUGUAACAAUAAGAUUAUGAUGAUCUAACAGACUAACAUCCACAGCAGGUGGGCUUUUUCGAACUAAGAGCAUGAGCAUCAGUGAACUCCCCUUUGGGGUUCAUCUUCUUAAUUUUUUAUUAUUAAAUUUUUUAUUUUUUUCAUUUUGAACUUAAAAAAAAAAAAAAAAAAAAAUUGACCAAUCGCGGGCCGCCACGUGUCAUGGGGCCCGCGCUACAGUGAUGAACUUUAGGAGAGAGGGUAUCAUGCAGAAGAGGUGAGAAGAGGCGAGUUCAUCACUUUUGCUUUUUUUAAUAUAUUUUUUUUAUCGUAAAACGUGUGAACCUCCCUCUUGAACCUUUAAUGCUCUUGCUCUAAGGUACUAGAAAAAAUAGGAAACACACAAAAUGAAAUAGGUGUUGAAAAUUUUAAAUGAUUUUCUUUAAUGGAUUAGACUAUACUUCUAUAAGUAAAACAAAUCAAUGUUAUCGUAAAUUUUUAGUUUAGGGAUUUCUACUUAAACUAAAUUUAUUUGGGAAAUUUUAGCAUUAAAAUUCUUAAAAUUCAAUCAAAUAUGAUGUAAAAAAUUAUAAUUUAAAUUUUCAAAAAUUAGCAUUUCAAACAAAUUACGCAGAUAAAUAAAAUAUACUAUUUGAUUCAAAAUCUACACUACUAGUACUUAAAGUACAUUUUAGUUUUUUUUCUAAAUUGCAUGCUUUUUAUACAUUUAUAUAUGAUUCACAUAAUGUUGCAUUCAAGCUGGUCUGUCUUGGACUUCACGGUUCAAACCUCCGAGUUGUAUGCUCUAAUGUCUAAUCAUCAACAUCUUCAUUUCUUAAUAAUAAUCGUCUAUUCUGCGAGUUCUUUAAGUCGGCGUCUUUAGCUUUUGAUUAAGUUUGCACAUUUUCCCCAUUGUCAAGUACGAACGAUUAAACAAUUGGGAUCAUCUUGCUUCUUAAUAGUUAAAUCAUCAUCAUCAUCUAUAGCUUUUCCUUCAACUUCUUAAUUUUGUACCUUUUCUCGAUGAUCUCUUACAAAGUAUUGUCUUAUGAUAAGACACUCAAAGAUUGUAACUCAAGAUUAUACUCCACACAAACCAAAACAGCACAAGAGAUAGAUGUACAACUUGUGAUUUAUCAUAUCAUCUACAAGGUUUGGACAAACAUCAUUCUCUGGCAAGCUUAAGCAUACUUGAUACUUGUGCUCUCUUUUUUUUUUUCUUUUUUUUUUUGAACAACUCUUGUGCUCUCUCUAUUACAGCAUCUUGUAACAAGAAGAUUGUCUAUCAUACCGUUACAAAAGGUAGAUUUUUUUAACUAAGAAACACACUCCAAAUGAAUACUACACUUGAUCUCACUUGAAAUGCUUAAAGAAGCUUCACAUUCUCAACAUAGUUGAGAUAGGUGUUUAAUCUCCUACCCUGAAGCGCCUCCAUUCCUUGGAUUCCAACUUUUCUGAUCGUCUUGCUCUCCACAUUGUAGUAGAUAACAUAGGAAGGCACGUACUGGAACCAGGGGGCCAAAACGAUUUCAUUUACACCAACCAUUCCAGCAAUACACAUUCUGUCCACAAUAACAUCCUUCCACAGUGGUGGUAAUACGUAAACAUGCUUGGACCACUCAUGUUUUGCAGCAUCUCGAAGAACCCACAGCUUAAAACGUUUACACGUUCGAAAAACAUAACAAGUAUCUUCCGACGACAUAAGCAAACCUAAUCUGUCAUUGUAGUUCACCAGGGUUGUUGACUGAGGCAGUGCUCGUUUCAAUCGCGAGAGAUUCACAAAGCUGAACUUCUCAGUCCCCAAAUCAAAACAAACUACCAUAGAUUCCCGUGAAGAAGACCUAGGUUCUGCAGCUAUAUAGUACAAAACGCCACUGAUGCAUAUCCCCUUACGAGAAGAGUAAUGCGGUAUGCUACAUUCGACCACCCUCCACGACAGUUUCUUGGUUCCUAAUGUCAGAACAUGGUGCUCCGUACCAUCAAACACAGAUAAUACCUUGAACACUUUCGCAACGGGGUCGUAUCCAAGAUAGUUUUCCACUCUAUACCUCUCUUUUGAGUUCAAUCUUGGUAAGGUCAAGGACUGUCCUGUGCUGGGGUUACAUACCACCGUGACAAUCACUGCUUUGUUCUUGCCCUGGUUAGCUCCAUAACAGAAGAAGCCAUUGGUACAACCAAAUAAGCCAUAGGAAGUUGGGAAACGCGCGAGGUGAUUGGCGGCUACAACAUGCGAGUUGUCUUCCGGAUUUUCAGGCUGAGACGACGAGAGGAAGUGAAUCUCGUGGCGGUAAUCAGAGCAGGCGAAAAGAAGCUGAGGGUGAGCGCAAGAUUGGGUCAAGAAGGAGUCUGUGAAAUCUUGGCUGCGGAGCACGGAGGACCAGAGCUUGCAUACGCAACGACAUGUCGCUAUAGACUUCAACGGCAGCCUCAAGAAUAUCUCUGUAACGACCUCGACAGGAAGCGUCAGUGAGUUUCGAUCAAGUCUGGUCGUCGAUCGCGUAACGCGCUGAGAAAUGCUUAGACCACCCUUCUGCCGCUUCAUAGCGAGAUACUUUUAGAACUUCUCUUACUACCCUGAAACAAAAUACAGUUAGCCACAGAUUCUACCAGAUAAACGAUCAAUGUCGAUUUUACAAAUUGCAGAAGAACGAACAUGAGGCACAUUAAUGUUUUCAGCAUUUCUUACCUCGAAUUCACUGGGAGACACUAGGUAAGAACAAUCGUAAAUCGUAGUUAGGGUUUAGAACUAUCCCCAAAAUCAUUUGUCGGGAAUGAUAAAAGAGAGUGAAGUAAUUUUAUAUGGGCCUUUUGUGGGCUUACACAAUAUUUAAAAUGAUGGGUUUACGAUGGGUCUGACCUGAAUUUUAUUAUAAACGUUAAAAACUACAAUGGUCUGGACAAACCAGUAACAUCCGCUGGCCAAAUAAACCGAAUCAGAAAACCCGAACCGAACUCGAUCCGGUAAAAAUAAAUCCGAACCGAUCCGAAGCCGACAUACCGAAAAAAUUUUGUUUUAUAGUAUUUCGGGUUAUGGGUAUUAUUCGAACCGAACCUGAAUUUAAAUGGAAAUAUCCGAUAGAACCUGAAAAAUUCAAAAUAAAAAAAAAAGUUUGUAUCAAACAUUCUCAAUUCCUAAUAUGUAUCUGAAAUAAAAUAAAAUAAAAUAUUAUUGAACAUCUAAAAUAGUUAUUUAUUACAUGAAGAUUGAUGGUUGAAGGUGUCGGUUGAAACUUGAAGGUUUUUAGAUUUUGGUUUUGUUUUCGAUGAAUAAUGUUUCUUAUUUUAUAUAUUUAUCUUUCGUUUGAUUUUGAAUGAUCAUAUUGGAUGUUCCUUUCUUAUUUUUGAAUCGAUUUUGCUUAUGUUUUAGUUACAAAAUAGGUACAAAACGGGUAUUAUAAAACCAAAUAACCGAUUUUACUUAUGUUUUUGGUUACAAAUAGAUACAAAUCAUGUAUUUUUAAACCGAAGAACCGAUUGGGACCUGAAUCCAAAUUCUUUGAAAAUUAACUAACCCCAACCCGAACUUGAACCCGUCCCAAACCAAACUUUCAUAUAACCCGAAUGAGACUGAUUUAGAUAAAUCUAAAAAACUAAGACCCGAUUAGACAAAACCGAAAUCCCAUUGGAACCCAAAUGCCCAUGUCUAAUUUGUCUCAUCUCAUGGAUCUAGAAAAUCAUUCUCUCUCUCUAUCACAGCACUGAAAGAUGACAUUCAAAAGCUUCUCAGUUUUGGAUUAAUAUUUAACUAUUUACAGCAUUUGUAACAAGAAGAUUGUCUCUCAUCCCCUGGUUGAAUCUUCUACAAGAGGUUGAUUUUCAAACUAAGACGCUAGAAAAAAAAAUGAAAACUACGUUUGAAAUGCUUAAAGAAACUUCACAUUCUCAACAUAGUUGAGGUAGGUGUUUAGCCUCUUACCCUGAAACGCCUCCAUUCCUUGGAUUCCAACUUCUCUGAUCGUCUUGCUCUUGACAUUGUAGUAGAUGACACAGGAAGACACUCUUUGGAAACAGGGGGUCAAAACAAUUUCAUCUACACCAACCAUUCCAGCAAUAUCCAAUCUAUCCUCAACUACACCCUUCCAAACUGGUGGUAAUACGUAAACAUGCCUGGACCACUCAUGUUUUGCAACGUCUCGAAGAACCCACAGCUCAAAUCUUUUACAUGAUCGAGUAACAUAAUAAUCUUCCGACGACAUAAGAAAACCUAAUCUGCCAUUGUAGUUUGUCAGAGUUGUUGAAGGAUAUCUAUUGAAACGCCUCAAGAGGUUCACAAAGCUGAACUUCUCAGUCCUCAAAUCAAAACAAACUACCAUAGAUUCCACCGAAUAUCUGAUUUCUUUAGCUAUAUAGUACAAAACGCCACUGAUGCAGAUCCACUUACCAGAAGAAUAAUGUCGUAUGCAACAUUCGACCAACCUCCACGACAGUUUCUUGGUUCCUAAUGUCAGAACAUGAAACUCCUUACCAUCAUCACAUGCAGACAACACCUUGAACUGUUUUGCAAUGGGGUCAUAUCCAAGAUAGCUUUCCGCUUCAACCCUGAUCCUCGUUUUCAAUCUUGGUAAGGUCAAGGACUGUCCUGUGCUGGGGUUACAUAUCACCGUGACAAUCCAUCGAUUAUUCCACCCCUUCAAGAUCCGUUCAGCCCCAUAACAGAAGAAGCCAUUGGUACAACCAAACAGUUUAUAGUAACGUGGGGAACGUGCAAUAUGAUUGGUGGCUACGACAUACGAGUUGUCUUCAAGAUUUUCAGGCUGAGGCGACGAGAAGAAGUGUAUCUCGCUGCGACCUUCGCAUGCAAAGAGAAGCUGAGGACGACGAGCACAAGAUUUGGUCAAGAACAGCUCUGUGAAAUCUUGACUGCGGAUCACGGAGGACCAGAGCUUGCAUACGCAAUGGCAUCUCGCUAUGGACUUCGACGGCAACCUCGAGAGUAUCUCUGUAACAACCUCAACAGGAAGCGUCAAUGAGUUACGAUCAAGCGUGGUCGUUGAUCGCGUAACGCGGCGAGAAAUGCUUAGACCACCCUUCAUGAAGGAGUAUGUUCCCUUACGGACGCUCUUUGAGAAAAGACAUUAAAAUUACAUUACUAACCUGAAACACAAACAUUCUAGAACCAACCAAAACUCCAAACAAAUGUUCGAUUGCAUCCAGAAACUAAAUACAGUUCUAGAACAUAGCCAGAGAUGAUGUCACAUUUACCAGAUGAACGAUCGAGAUGAAACAACAAUCUACCAAAACAACAAUUAUGUUUUCAGCAUUUCUUACCUCGAAUUCACUGUCACUAGGUUGAAUUUUUGGACUGGAUUUUGCAGAAGAACAAUCGUAAAUUGCAGUUAUGGUUUAGAACUAUCCCCAAAUCAUUGGUCGGGGAAGAUAAAAGAGAGUGCUGUAAUAAUAUAUAUUUAGCGGGUUUAGAAUAUCAAUUUAUACAAUGGGUUUGACCUGAACUUUAUUUUAAAAAAAGUCGAAUUGCUAUUUAAUUCUACUCAUUUUAUCGACAAGGACAAGAUAAAAAAAAGGAGCGACGUGUCUUAGUCGAAUCGGUGCUGGACCACCGUACCACCGCCGAGCAUCACCACGUAGCAUUCAAAGAUAACAUAAGCUUGUCUGUUUUUUAUGAGUAUUUACAUUUGUAAAGAGUUUGUAACAAUAAGAUUAACAUCCACAACAGGUGGGCUUUUUCAAACUAAGGUACUAGAAAAAAUAGGAAACACACAAAAUGAAAUAGGUGUUGAAAAUUUUAAACUGAUCUUCUUUAAUGGAUUAGACUAUACUUCUAUAUGUAAAACAAAUCAAUCUUAGCUGUAAAUUUUUAGUUUAUGGAUUUCUAUAUAAACUAAACUUAAAUAGGAGAUUUUAGCAUUAAAAUUCUUAAAAUUCAAUCAAAUAUGAUGUAAAAAUUAUAAUUUAAAUUUUCAAAAAUUAGCAUUUCAAACAAAUUACGCAGAUAAAUAAACUAUAUUUGCUUCAAAAUCUACACUACUAGUACUUAAAAUACAUUUUAGUUUUCUUUCUUCUAAAUUGCAUGCUUAUUAUAAAUUUAUAUAUGAUUCACAUAAUGUUGCAUUCAAACUGGUCUGUCUUGGACUUCACGGUUCAAACCUCGGAGUUGUAUGCUCUAAUGAAUCACAACAUCUUCAUUUCUUAAUAAUAAUCGUCCAUUCUGCGAGUUCUUUGAGUCGGCCUCUUUAGCUUUUGAUUAAGUUUGCACAUUUUUCCAAUUGUCAAGUACGAACGAUUAAACAAUUGGGAUCAUCUUGCUUCUUAAUAGUUAAAUCAUCAUCAUCAUCUAUAGCUUUUCCUUCAGCUUCUUAAUUUUGUACCUUUUCUCGAUGAUCUCUUACAAGUAUUGUCUUAUGAUAAGACACUCAGAGAUUGUAACUCAAGAUUAUACUCCACACAAACCAAAACAGCACAAGAAAUAUAGAUGUACAACUUGUGAAUUAUCAUAUCACCUACAAGGGUCUGGACAAACAUCAUUCUCUGGCAAGCUUAAGAAAACUUGUGCUCUCUCUAUUACAUCAUUUUGUAACAAGAAGAUUGUCUAUCAUACCCUUGUUGAAUCUUCUACAAAAGGUAGAUUUUUUUAACUAAGAAACACACUCCAAAUGAAUACUACACUUGAUCUCACUUGAAAUGCUUAAAGAAGCUUCACAUUCUCAACAUAGUUGAGAUAGGUGUUUAAUCUCCUACCCUGAAGCGCCUCCAUUCCUUGGAUUCCAACUUUUCUGAUCGUCUUGCUCUCCACAUUGUAGUAGAUAACAUAGGAAGGCACGUACUGGAACCAGGGGGCCAAAACGAUUUCAUUUACACCAACCAUUCCAGCAAUACACAUUCUGUCCACAAUAACAUCCUUCCACAGUGGUGGUAAUACGUAAACAUACUUAGACCACUCAUGUUUUGCAGCAUCUCGAAGAACCCACAGCUUAAAACGUUUACACGUUCGAAAAACAUAACAAGUAUCUUCCGACGACAUAAGCAAACCUAAUCUGUCAUUGUAGUUUACAAGGGUUGUUGACUGAGGCAGUGCUCGUUUCAAUCGCGAGAGAUUCACAAAGCUGAACUUCUCAGUCCCCAAAUCAAAACAAACUACCAUAGAUUCCCGUGAAGAAGACCUAGGUUCUGCAGCUAUAUAGUACAAAACGCCACUGAUGCAUAUCCCCUUACGAGAAGAGUAAUGCGGUAUGCUACAUUCGACCACCCUCCACGACAGUUUCUUGGUUCCUAAUGUCAGAACAUGGUGCUCCGUACCAUCAAACACAGAUAAUACCUUGAACACUUUCGCAACGGGGUCGUAUCCAAGAUAGUUUUCCACUCUAUACCUCUCUUUUGAGUUCAAUCUUGGUAAGGUCAAGGACUGUCCUGUGCUGGGGUUACAUACCACCGUGACAAUCACUGCUUUGUUCUUGCCCUGGUUAGCUCCAUAACAGAAGAAGCCAUUGGUACAACCAAAUAAGCCAUAGGAAGUUGGGAAACGCGCGAGGUGAUUGGAGGCUACAACAUGCGAGUUGUCUUCCGGAUUUUCAGGCUGAGGCGACGAGAGAAAGUGUAUCUCGUGGCGGUAAUCAGAGCAUGCGAAAAGAAGCUGAGGGCGAGCGCAAGAUUUGGUCAAGAAGGAGUCUGUGAAGUCUUGGCUGCGGAGCACGGAGGACCAGAGCUUGCAUACGCAACGGCAUGUCGCUAUAGACUUCAACGGCAACCUCAAGAAUAUAUCUAUAACGACCUCAACAGGAAGCGUCAAUGAGUUUCUAUCAAGUCUUGUCGUCGAUCGCGUAACGCGCCUAGACAUGGCGGAGUGACGUUUCGGUCUGUGAAGAACAAAGAGAAAAGACAUUAAACUAAACUUCAAAUACAGUUCUAGAACAAAAGUUCGAUGCAACUAAUCUUGAAAUACAAUUUAGAACUUAGCCACAGAUUCUACAGAAAUGUCACAUUCUACCAGAUAAACGAUCAAUGUCGAUUUUACAAAUUGCAGAAGAACGAACAUGAGGCAAAUCUUUAUACACACAAAUGUUUUCAGCAGUUCUUACCUCGAAUUCACUGUCACAGCAGUAAGAACAAUCGAAAAUCGCAGUUAGGGUUUUGAACUAUCCCCAAAAUCAUCUGUCGGGGGAAGAUAAAAGAGAGUGCUGUAAUAAUAUAUGGGCCUUUUGUGGGUUUAGACUUUACUUAAAAUGAUGGUUUAACGAUGGGUCUGACCUGAAUUUUAUUUAAAACGUUGAUUUGCUUUUCUUUUUUUUUUCUUUUUUUUACCAAAAAUGUUGAUUUGCUAUUUAUACUAUUAUUUGAAAAGUGAAUUUGCUUACUUGUCAUCUUUCCUAUAAUUUUAGUGAAUUUGUUUAUUUGUCAUAUUUUUCAUGAUUUUAGGAUAAAUCAUUAGUUUAAUUAAUAUUAUUAUUUAAAAAAUUUAUGUUAAUCUAUAUAUUUAUCAUGAUAUUUUAAAUCAUCAAUAAACAUGAAAUUAUUCUACUGAUAUAUAAACUAUUUAAAAAUAUAUUUAAUAUAUAGUUAUAUGAUAUUUAAAAUAUUUAAUUAAAAAAAUAGAUAUUAACAGUUGAUAUUAACAAUAUCUACUGAUAAUAUCAUAAUUUUGUUUAUCUUAUAUUUAGUUUACGACUUAAUGACUAAUAUUAUAGUCUAUUUCUCUGAUUCUUAUUGGAAAUAUUGAUCCAAGUAUAAUUAUUAUAAAAAUUAUACAUAAGUAUACUAAUAUAUUUAAUUUAAUCGGUUUCUUCAGUUUAUUCAGUUGAAUCGGUUAAUAUAUUGAACCAUAACCAUAUAUUGUGGCUUCUUAAGAUGACAUCCAUCUGGUUUAUUCGGUACUACCAAAUCCAAAUUAUUUUCUCUAUUUUGGUUCGGUUUUAAGUGGUCGGUUUUACCAUAUUAAACAUCCCUAGGCUAUUGUUAUUUUGUUGACGUUUUAUGGGUUGUAGUUUUUUAUAAUCCUUUCAGUGCCACUGAAUUUCUUUUUGGUCCAAAUAAAAUAAGUGUUUAAUUUCAAAUCCAGAUUUCCUAAUUUGAUUAUUACUAUGGAAAAAGUUUUGAUCCAAAAUUCACAUCUUAUAUAUAAAAUAUGAAAUAAAAGAACAUAGUUUAAUAUAUUGAUUACCAAUAUGAAUGCUGAAAUAUAUUUAUAAUACUGAUUUAAAAUUGUAUCUGAUUUAAUAAGUUUUUUAAUAAAAAUGAACAUUAUAAUUAAAAAUUGUUAUAUGUAGUUUGCUAUCUAUUCUGGAAGGAGUUAUGACACGAUUCAGUGGUGGAUGACUUACAACAUUCCACCUUACCAGGUACCACCGCCGAGCAUCACUCACACAAGUAGGGCUGGGAGUUUGAGUCGGGGGUGUGCAGAUCGAUCGAAUUUGAGUCACGGAUGUCCUCUACCCCGCGAAAUUUUUUAAAAGUAUAUAUUUGUAAAAUAAAUAAAAAUCGUUAAAAAUAUAUGAAACAUUUUAAAAAUUAUAUAAUUUCAAUUGUACCUUUUCUUGAUUCUAUAUGAGGAAGUUUGACUUAUGAUAAGACAUUCGAAGAAUGUAACUCAAGAUUCUAUCGAUGUAAUCAAAGCGGCUCAAAAAAUUAGAUGUACAACUUGUGAUUUAUCAUAUCAUCUACAAGGGUGUGGACAAACAUCAUUUUUCUGGCUAGGUUAAGUGAGAUCUUAACCCAAAAUAUUAACAUUCUGUUGAUCUCUAUCAUAGCAUAUUCAAAUAUCACAUUCUAAACUUGUCUGUUUUGGAUGAGUAUUUACAUUUGUGAAGAGUUUGUAACAAGAAGAUUACAUAUAUCAUCCACAACAGGUGGGGCUUUUUCAAACUAAGAUGCUAGAAGAAAACGAACACACACAAAAUGAAAACUACACUCGUCUCUCACUUAUAAAAUGCUUAAAGAAGCUUCACAUUCUCAACAUAGUUAAGAUAGGUUUUGAAACUCGUACCCUGAAACGCUUCCAGUCCUUGGAUUCCAACUUUGGUGAUCGUCUUUCUCUCCACGUUGAAGUAGAUGACAUAGGAAGGCACUCUUUGGUAGCUCGGGGAGAAGACGAUUUCUUUUGUACCAACCAUUCCAGCAAUGUACAUGGUCUCUGAAACCACAUACGUAGACAUGAUUGGACCACUCGUGUUGUGCAGCGUCAAGCAGAACCCACAGCUUAAAACUUGUACUUGAUCGAGUAACAUAAUGAGAAUCUCCAGACAUAAGCAAACCUAACUUGCCGUUGUAGUUUACCAUUUUAGUUGUUGAAUCAGGCAUUGCUUUACCGAACUUGACAGAGCUGAACUCCUCAGACCUCAAGUCAAAACAAAGGACCAUAGAAUUCUCGGAAGAUCCAUCUGCACUUGCUGCGUAGUAGAGAACACCACUGAUGCAUAUCCACUUAGUAGAAGAACAAUGUGGUACGCAGCACUCGACCAACCUCCAUGACAAAUUCUUGGUUCCUAAUGUCAGAACUUGGUGCUCCACAGAGAUCCUCUCACCAUUACGCGAGCUGUUCAUCGACAAUAACUUGAAUUCUUUCUCCAUCGGCUCAUAUCCAAGAUAGCUUUGCACUCCAUACCUCUUUUUCGAGAUCAAUCUGGGCAUGGUCAAGGACUGUCCCGUGCUGGGGUUACAUAUCACCGGCAAUUUUAGCCUCUUAAAGAACCAGUCAGCUCCAUAACAGAAGAAGCCGUUGGUACAACC
rnacentral:lncRNA from 1 species